AUUGAACGCUGGCGGCAUGCCUUACACAUGCAAGUCGAACGGCAGCACGGGUGCUUGCACCUGGUGGCGAGUGGCGAACGGGUGAGUAAUACAUCGGAACAUGUCCUGUAGUGGGGGAUAGCCCGGCGAAAGCCGGAUUAAUACCGCAUACGAUCUACGGAUGAAAGCGGGGGACCUUCGGGCCUCGCGCUAUAGGGUUGGCCGAUGGCUGAUUAGCUAGUUGGUGGGGUAAAGGCCUACCAAGGCGACGAUCAGGAGCUGGUCUGAGAGGACGACCAGCCACACUGGGACUGAGACACGGCCCAGACUCCUUCGGGAGGCAGCAGUGGGGAAUUUUGGACAAUGGGCGAAAGCCUGAUCCAGCAAUGCCGCGUGUGUGAAGAAGGCCUUCGGGUUGUAAAGCACUUUUGUCCGGAAAGAAAUCCUUGGCCCUAAUACGGUCGGGGGAUGACGGUACCGGAAGAAUAAGCACCGGCUAACUACGUG
rnacentral:rRNA from 1 species